AUCUGGAAAACACAGUAAACAGUAAGAACUUUGGGCUUACCAGUGUUCUUGACAUCGCUUGUCAGAAGUGCGGCAAAGUCAAACGUGUGCACACUGGUCGUAAGCAUGGGAAAGUCUACGACAUGAACACAAAGCUUGCAAUUGCUAUUACACAUUCUGGAGUUGGUGUUAGACAGAUAUACAGUAUUUUAUCAGCAUUAAACAUUCCACCUGUCAACCAUUCCUUGCUUGUUAGGAGACAGAAUGAAGCUGGACAGGCAUUAGAGGAUGUUGCCAAAGCCAGUACUGAGAAGUAUUUGCAACAGGAAGUUAACUUGAAUUGAGAG